CCGAGUUUACAACUCCCAAACCCCUGUGAACAUACCUAUACGUUGCCUCGGCGGAUCAGCCCGCGCCCCGUAAAAAGGGACGGCCCGCCCGAGGACCCCUAAACUCUGUUUUUAGUGGAACUUCGGAGUAAAACAAACAAAUAAAUCA
rnacentral:misc_RNA from 1 species